AUGUUUAAGCCCUGGAUUGCAAUCAGUUCUGCCACUAACUUGCUGUAUGAACUUGGGAUGGACGCCAACCACGGAGGGGGGAAGCCCAAGAGGAAAGAGUCUUCAGGAGAAGAGUUCUACUCGCGGUCCAGGCUCCUGGGGUGUAGAGCCAGCUCUAGGUCCUGGCCGCUGGAAGCAGAAGAGCCCACAGUGACUCACGGGUCCGUCCUGGGGCAGAGCAGUCACAACCCUGCCUCUGUGAAAGUCCGUUGUCACUUCACCACAGACUCUGAGAAGGACAAGAGACCUUGGGAAAUUAUGGCAAUUUCCCUUUCUAGUCUACCUCUCCCCAGCACCGGGAAGUGUCCCUUCCAGGGGGCCCUGCUGGGCUGCUACGUGUGCUAAAAAGAGGCCAGGUCUUGGGAUUCAGGCUGUGGAUAGAAGCACAAAGGACAUCCUCGGUCUCUGGUUUCCUGUGGCCUUCGUGUCCCCACAGGGACAGCUUGACUCCCUUUCCUGGCCUCCUGGGCCUGGCAGACCUGCCUGGGAAUCGGAGGAAGAGGGCUUCUCUGGACGGCAAGAGGGCAGAGGGGAAUUCAGCGAGGGAAGGCUGGUGAGGAAGCCCCGUCGGUCCUCUUCUCUCUGAGCCAAGAACUUUCAUCCCUGGCCCAGCUCGGUGCCGGCCCUCCCCACAGCGACAUGUCCACAUUCAAGCACGUUGCUCAUUUCAGGAUGAGGCAGCUUCUGCCUUGGGUGAGGACUGGGUGUUGAGAGCUGCAUAUGGAAAUCCAAUUGUGUCAAGCUCAUUAUAGCCUUAUAUAAUUUGAUUGCACCACUUAGAGCCAGACCUUUCUCGUAUCUGGGGUCUGUCUUCAUUACUUUCUAGAGAUGAAAGAUUCUCCUGUUCUCCUCUGUGGCACUUCUUUUAAUCUUAUCUUACCCUGGGCUCUAUUAAAGCAACAGAUUGUCAUAUCAAAUGCACAACACUGUUUAAUCAUUUCCCACACGGGAUAAAGAGGUUUGCAACGUAUUUACAGAACCCUAACCCAGCACAUGAAAUUCGGUGAGGAUUUCUCCUUUGAUUUGGAGCUCCUGAGAGCCGCGAUCUGGCUUAUGUGCAUUUUUGUCUUUGGCAUCUGACACGGAGCUGUGCACAGAGCAGGUGUUCAAGCCAGGCUGGUGAGGACCCAGGAAGGGGGACGGACCUUCCCAGUUGGACACAAAUCCGUUAAUAAGGCCCUGGUCGUGAGCUCAUCCCUGUGUAGACUGUGUCAGCCUCUCCCUCUUCCAUAGGCCAGGAGCACAACGUGAGAGGUUAAAAGAGAAUGUGACCAUCAUCUAGGCUAUUUUGAAGACAAGAAAACGGAGGCUAUGAGGAGAAGUAACGUCUCCAGGGCAAGGCAGCAUGCUGGGGAGUCUUCUGUGCAGUUCUCCCUGCCUUUAGGCCAAAUGCUCUCUCCAUGAGGGGCCUCUCCCUGAAUGUCAAUGCCUGCUGGGUAAGUUUCUAAACCGGAUGAACUAGGUCUGGGAAGGUUCAGUUUCAGCAAGGAUGGAGAUCCCAGGGUUGGAUAAGAAGUCUGGAAGGAGGAUGCUCCCACUCUGGCUACGGUUCCAGGUGGGGUCUGGGCCACGAGAACUGGCAUCUCUUGCCCCAGCAGAGGCAGAAGAAGGACAAAGAGGGAGACGUGGAAAAGCCACACAAGAACGCAGCCAAUUGCACUCUUGGGUGUUCAUUCCCUGAGAAAUGGAAAGUCACGUUCACACAAAAACCUGUUCAUGAAUGUCCACAGCAGCUUUACUCAUAAUAGCCAAAAAUGUGGUCGUGUAGCCCUGUGGCAUGUGAUACAUCCAAGCCAUGGGUUGCUGCCCAGCAAGAAAAUGGAAUGGACUAUUGAUACAGACAACCUGGAUACAUCUCCAGGAAUUAUGAGAAAUGGAAAAAAAACAAAAACAAAGCACGAAACCCUCCGAAGGUUAUGUAACCCUCCAAAG
ensembl:lincRNA